UGGGGAAUAUUGCGCAAUGGGCGAAAGCCUGACGCAGCGACGCCACGUGAGGGAUGAAGGCCUUCGGGUUGNAAACCUCUUUCAGCAGGGAAGAAGCGAGAGUGACGGUACCUGCAGAAGAAGCACCGGCUAACUACGUGCCAGCAGCCGCGGUAAUACGUAGGGUGCAAGCGUUGUCCGGAAUUAUUGGGCGUAAAGAGCUCGUAGGCGGUUUGUCGCGUCUGCUGUGAAAACUCGGGGCUCAACUCCGAGCUUGCAGUGGGUACGGGCAGACUAGAGUGCGGUAGGGGAGACUGGAAUUCCUGGUGUAGCGGUGAAAUGCGCAGAUAUCAGGAGGAACACCGGUGGCGAAGGCGGGUCUCUGGGCCGUAACUGACGCUGAGGAGCGAAAGCAUGGGGAGCGAACAGGAUUAGAUAGCCCUGGUAGUCCAUGCCGUAAACGUUGGGCGCUAGGUGUGGGGCU
rnacentral:rRNA from 1 species